rnacentral:rRNA from 1 species
UACGGAGGGUGCGAGCGUUGCCCGGAAUCAUUGGGCGUAAAGGGCGCGUAGGUGGCGGGGCAAGCGUGCGGUGAAAGCUCGGGGCUCAACCCCGCGUCGGCCGUGCGAACUGUUUUGCUUGAGCACUGUAGAGGCAGGCGGAAUUCCGGGUGUAGCGGUGGAAUGCGUAGAGAUCCGGAAGAACACCGGUGGCGAAGGCGGCCUGCUGGGCAGUAGCUGACACUGAGGCGCGACAGCGUGGGGAGCAAACAGG